GGGUCGUUUAGCUCAGUUGGUAGAGCAGUUGACUUUUAAUCAAUUGGUCGCAGGUUCGAAUCCUGCACGACCCACCA
rnacentral:tRNA from 1 species